rnacentral:rRNA from 1 species
AAUCCAUAGGUUAAUGAGGCGAACCGGGGGAACUGAAACAUCUAAGUACCCCGAGGAAAAGAAAUCAACCGAGAUUCCCCCAGUAGCGGCGAGCGAACGGGGAGGAGCCCAGAGCCUGAAUCAGCAUGUGUGUUAGUGGAAGCGUCUGGAAAGGCGCGCGAUACAGGGUGACAGCCCCGUACACAAAAGCGCAUGUGCUGUGAGCUCGAUGAGUAGGGCGGGACACGUGGUAUCCUGUCUGAAUAUGGGGGGACCAUCCUCCAAGGCUAAAUACUCCUGACUGACCGAUAGUGAACCAGUACCGUGAGGGAAAGGCGAAAAGAACCCCGGCGAGGGGAGUGAAAAAGAACCUGAAACCGUGUACGUACAAGCAGUGGGAGCCCCACCACCAAAGCAUUCUCUGGUGUUGAAGGCCCUGCAAAGCAGCAUCGCGGUGGCGGAGCGUCGUUUGCGA